rnacentral:lncRNA from 8 species
UAUGUACUUGUAUUUGGAUCUGGUACAAAACUUUAUGUGACAGACAACAAUAGUGUACAAAAACCCAAAGUGACGGUCUACCCAGCGUCCAAACCUGAGCCAAAUAGGAAAACCACCCUGCUAUGUCUGGCUAGAGACAUGUUUCCAGACUUGGUCAAGAUUUCAUGGAAGAUGGUGGAUGAAAAUGGCCAAACAGUAGAGGUACCCAAAGCAGAGAGGGAAGAGCUGGAACAGAGGGAGGAAGGACGGACAACCAGUAUGAUCAUCAUUGAUAAAGACAAGACAUACAGGAACAAAUACAGCUGUUCUGUGGAGCAUGAAGGGGGCCCUCAAGAUGUUAACAUACCAGAAGAGGAACCAACUGAAGCUUCUCCAACCACCAUGGCUUCACCAACCACUCUGCAGGUUACCAACGAUUCAUUAAAGUCCAUAUGCAGUCUGAACUUGGCCUCUCUGGUUUACACAGUGAUGAUAGUGAAGAGCAUGGUGUACUGCUAUGGGCUCUCUUUCCUGCUGCACUACAGGAACAUGGGUUGUAGACCCAAAACCUGUAGACAAAUUCAUUGAAAGGAUAUCCCUAUAUAUUGUGUUUCCCUCCUUAAAAUGAAUAUCACAUAAUAUUUAGUUUUGAUGAUUGUGGGAGCCACCCACUACAGACACUUGAAUACAGUUCAGUUAAGGAGAGCAAAUCUUGAUGGUAGAAAUAUGAUUGAAAUAUUGACAGUUUUAUUAAAGUUGCCUUGUUGUAUGUCAUAGCGUCAAAUUACUUUUUUACAAAAUCUGUAUUUGAUUUUUACAAAAAUAUUUACCUAAUUAUCAUAUGUAUUUCUUUAAAUAUGUUGUUAUUAAAUAUAUGGCCCUUGAUUUCUAAACAUGUGUCAUUAUACAAAAUCAUUUUUAGUAACUUGUCAAGUGUGUAAUAAAGUGUAUUUUUUCUCAAGUAAUUAGAGUUAGUUUUCUGACAGUAUUUCAUAUCUUCAUUAAAUUUUCUCAUUCAUUUACCAUGAAUAAUAGAAAAUCUAGCUUUUUUUUGCUUUAAAAAACUAAAUGAUAAGUGCUUAUUGAGCCAGAAAAUUGAUCUAUGAGUGAAAUCAGUCAUUUGUGAUUUUUUACAAUGAUACAAUGCUGUUGUUGUUUAAUUUUUUACGUUGAUACAUAAAGCUUGUAUGAAAAGUGACAUUUCCUUGUGUAACACAGCCUUGUAGUGAGCAAAGUUUCUCAAAAUAACCAUAUCCUUUCAGAUGGGGAUGGUUUUAAUUAUUUCUGCCUUCAUGAAAGAAAAGUUAAAAAAACAUGGUUCUGCAAUGUAUUGUAUAGCCUACAUUUUGUACAGUUCCGUGCUAUUUUGAAUGAGGAAACUGUCACCAUAAUAAAAAAUUAAUGUUUCUUAAAACCCCCAAAACAUUGUAUUUCUUAUAAGAUCAUCUAUUCUUAUUUUAGAACAUUUUAAAUUAUUGAAUCACAUCAGAAGCGGAACAAUAAGAUCAUAAGAUCCCUUAUUCUCUGUUUUCAACCUGUUUGCUUAAAUGUGCAUGCUCUGACGCAGGUGUAGAGACUAUAGAC